GCCUGGGUGGCUCAGUUGGCUGAGCGUCUGACUUCGGCUCAGGUCACGAUCUCAUGGUUUGUGAGUUUGAGCCCCACGUCGGGCU
rnacentral:tRNA from 1 species